rnacentral:rRNA from 1 species
GAUGAACGCUAGCGGCAGGCUUAAUACAUGCAAGUCGUGGGGCAGCGCAGGUAGCAAUACUGGGCGGCGACCGGCAAACGGGUGCGGAACACGUACACAACCUUCCGAGAAGUGGGGAAUAGCCCAGAGAAAUUUGGAUUAAUACCCCGUAACAUAACGAUGUGGCAUCACAUUGUUAUUAUAGCUUCGGCGCUUCUUGAUGGGUGUGCGGCUGAUUAGAUAGUUGGCGGGGUAACGGCCCACCAAGUCUACGAUCAGUAGCUGAUGUGAGAGCAUGAUCAGCCACACGGGCACUGAGACACGGGCCCGACUCCUACGGGGAGGCAGCAGUAAGGAAUAUUGGUCAAUGGACGCAAGUCUGAACCAGCCAUGCCGCGUGAAGGAUUAAGGUCCUCUGGAUUGUAAACUCUUUUAUCUGGGACGAAAAAAGGAACG